UUGACACAGGGAGGUAGUGACAAUAAAUAACAAUGCCGGGCCUUUACAGGUCUGGCAAUUGGAAUGAGAACAAUUUAAAUCCCUUAUCGAGUAUCAAUUGGAGGGCAAGUCUGGUGCCAGCAGCCGCGGUAAUUCCAGCUCCAAUAGCGUAUAUUAAAGUUGUUGCAGUUAAAAAGCUCGUAGUUGGAUUUCUGGCAGGAGCGUCCGGUCUCACACUCAGUGCGGGAACUUGGAUGUCUCUGGCCAUCUUUGGGGAUAUCCUGUUUGGCAUUAAGUUGUCGGGCAGGGGAUACCCAUCGUUUACUGUGAAAAAAUUAGAGUGUUUAAAGCAGGCUUAUGCCGUUGAAUAUAUUAGCAUGGAAUAAUAAGAUAGGACGUAGGUACUAUUUUGUUGGUUUGCGCACCCACGUAAUGAUUAAUAGAGACAGGCGGGGCUAUUCGUAUUGCAUUGUCAGAGGUGAAAUUCUUGGAUUUCUGCAAGACGAACUACUGCGAAAGCAUUUAGCAAGGAUGUUUUUAUUAAUCAAGAACGAAAGUUAGGGGAUCGAAGAUGAUUAGAUACCAUCGUAGUCUUAACCAUAAACUAUGCCGACUCUGGAUUCGCGGUUGUUUUUUGACUCCGUGAGCACUGUAUGAGAAAUCAAAGUCUUUGGGUUCCGGGGGGAGUAUGGUCGCAAGGA
rnacentral:rRNA from 1 species